UUAAAUAAUAAAGUAUUAGGUUUAUUUAUUAAUUAAAAGGGAAAGUGGUGAAAAUCCACUGCAGCCCCCGCUACUGUAUACGGAGACAAGUUCUAUAUCCACUGGAGAGAUAUCUCUGGGAAGGAAGAAUAAGGAAGACCCGUGAGUCAGGAGACCUACCUAUUGCUUUUGUCAUAG
rnacentral:ncRNA from 2 species